rfam:Bacillus sp. MTM 13 127, whole genome shotgun sequence.
CCGUGCUAGGCGGGGAGGUAGCGGUGCCCUGUACUCGCAAUCCGCUCCAGCGAGGCUGAAUCCCUUCUCGAGGUUAGUAUCCUGUAGGGCCUGCCUUAAGUAAGUGGCGUUGACGCCCGGGUCCUGCGCAAUGGGAAUCCAUGAACCAUGUCAGGUCCGGAAGGAAGCAGCAUUAAGUGGAAGCUCUCAUGUGCCGCAGGGUUGCCUGGGCUGAGCUAACUGCUUAAGUAACGCUUAUGGGUGCUAAUCGACGGAAGGUGCACGG